GUGUGGGUAUACUGAGGUGUGUGUGUAUACUGAGGUGUUUGUAUACUGAGGUGUGUGUGUAUACUGAGGUGUGUGUAUGUCAUGCUGAGGUGUGUGUUUGCCAAGGUGUGUGUAUGCUGAGGUGUGUGUAUACUGAGGUGUGUGUGUGUGUAUGCCAUGCUGAGGUGUGUGUAUGCCAUGCUGAGAUGUGUGUAUGCCAUGCUGAGAUGUGUGUGUAUGCUGAGGUGUGUGUAUACUGAGGUGUGUGUGUGUAUGCCAUGCUGAGGUGUGUGUAUGCCAUGCUGAGAUGUGUGUGUAUGCCAUGCUGAGGUGUGUUUGGCCACCAGACUGGGUGUCAGCAGAGGGAUCACUGACUGCACAAAACAAAACCACAUUAGCAUUCAUUCAUGUAGCAGACAUUAUUAUCUAAAGCAACUAUCAGUACAG
ensembl:lncRNA